rnacentral:rRNA from 1 species
UACGUAGGGUGCGAGCGUUGUCCGGAAUUAUUGGGCGUAAAGAGCUUGUAGGCGGUUUGUCGCGUCUGCCGUGAAAAUUCGAGGCUCAACCUCGAACUUGCGGUGGGUACGGGCAGACUAGAGUGUGGUAGGGGAGACUGGAAUUCCUGGUGUAGCGGUGAAAUGCGCAGAUAUCAGGAGGAACACCGGUGGCGAAGGCGGGUCUCUGGGCAACAACUGACGCUGAGGAGCGAAAGCGUGGGGAGCGAACAGGG